GGAAUGAUAAAGGAUGCGUUAUGUACAUCUGACACGCAGGACUUGCAAUUCUACCGUUCUGUACGAGCGAUUUUUCCAACUCACCGCGAAUCCAGGGAACAUCGACCCCCUCCCGAAAUAUUCCAGACCGCAACAGGCAAAGAACAGCGGUGGCCCAAGUACAUUGCUCGGAAUCAAGCCCACCCGAAAACUACUGUUGGGCCGGGAACUUGCUGCUUCACGAGCAGGCGCUCCAGGGACACGACUGCCCGGAGACAGGCCCAGCAGAAUCUGGAACGCUAGAGGGAAAAAGUCACACACCCCCGGUUUCGGCGAUUCGUCACAACAAGCGGCAAAAAAGCCGAGACUCCGCCCCGGCGAAAAACGGCACAGACGACCACAUACAUCUAGAGCUGGGGGAUUCCGGCGCCCCGAGCAUUCCCGAUGAAACACCCGAGAGACCUGUUUUUAAUGACAUGUCAGAUGUUGACGACCAGCUAUUCUGUGAUGCGGCCAACCUUAUAGACCCAGUCAAUUCUACGGCCUCAGUACCUGCAGCCGAACAAGAAAGGUUUUUCACAUUAUUUUCCAGGGCUUUGAAAUCGAGGAAUGUUUUGCUAUACAAACGACUAGGGGAUUUAAUUGAGAGACAGUACAGAGACGAUAUGUUAUUCUGGCAUAGAACAAUUCCACGCAUGUUAAACAGCAUUAAAGCAUUACAACCCCAUUAAAAAACGCAAAUACAGAAGCUAAAAUCAUACAUGUAACACCAACCAUUACAGAAAGACCAAAAAAAAAACGAACACCCUUAAUUAUCCAAAAAUGGCAGAACUAACGCAACACGGGGAGACAGUUGAAAGCCUCUUAUCCCAGAUUCCAGCCGAACUCCUAGAAGUUAUUAAACGUAUGAACGAGUCAGGAACGUUAGAUGAAAGCAUAUUAACACAGAUUCCAGCCGAACUCUUAGAAAUGAUUAAUCGUAUGAACGAGUCAGGGGCGUCUGAGGAAAACAUGUUAUCCCAGAUUCCCGAAGCCCUCAUAACCUUAAUUAAUCGGAUGAACGAGAGUCAGACAAUUUCGGCCCCGACCACCCCAACAGCGAUAGAACAACCAGUAACGAACGCCCAGGUCCGUAGAGUCUGAAACGCCACAAGAUGUUUUUGGGGAAUUGGACAAUUGUCUAAUAAAUCUGGAGGCAUAUGUUCAUGAUAGACGUGUCAGGGUUGUGUACAGGAACAAUACAGAGAUUCGACAGUUUUUCAAUUUCCUAUGUGUGAAUCAGAAUCUUGACUAUGCUGUAUUUUACAUGAUGAUAAUGGACACUCUGAAUGACCUGUUAGAAACGGCAAGAGAUUAUGGCGAACCUCGUGAUGUCUUACAGUUGGAAAUAUGUGGAGAUAGCCUGCAUAAUACAGUAUCUCUUAUUUUACCCAAUGGCGAAGCAGAUCUUGAACAAUUUACAGCGCUGGUAGAACGCCUUGUUCAGUCAAAUUUAGCCAUCAUAGCCGAUCGGACCCUCGAGCUUGUAGUGCAAAUAAUACGUCAACCGCAGGGGGGUGGUGGGCAGAGAAGGAAGCUUGAUAGCCUAAUGCAGUCAGAAAUCAUAAGCAAUAAAAGGGCCUACCUCAUAAACGUUCACAAUCCCAAUAAUAAGCUAUGUUUUGCAAUAGGCCUAGCGCAUUUACUUAACCCCGGAUGUACUGAUCUGAUGGCAUUGCAAAAGGCUAGAGAGAUCCAAACGGCGGUGGGUCUCGGGAUACAUGAAGGGGUGGCAUUCUCAGACAUUGUCAAAUUUGAAAACCUUCUGAAUAUCAAGAUUGUGGUUUUGUACCACAGUAGAGCUAAUGCAGCUCUCUUGAAGUUCCAAAACACCCUGUGACGUAGAAGUCCGUCACUGGCCGCGGGCAGCAUUUGGUUCUUUAACGCACACACAUAUUCAUCACUCCUCCCUGCGCCAUUAUAAGAUAAGUUAACAAUGUGGGUCGACACACAAAUUAACUUCUGUCUUGGUGCAUGCAUUUCACACUUGUCAGUGUUCAUAUUUGAGAGAUACAAUAAUUAAUAUACUUAUCAAUGUUGUGGAUGAGCGCAUUGUUUGUUUGUCUGUACCUCUCUCUCCAUCUCUGUAGCUUCCGGGUAUGCUGGAAAAGGACCCGAGCUAAGGGAAUUGGGUUGGCUUUAUAGUGCCUGUCCCAAAUGGCUCAUUAAUGCAUAUGGGCAUAUUGAAAGAUAUUGUCAGUAGUGAUGUAAUGUUGUAAAUGUUAUGUUGUGAUAUUGUUUAAAACCGUGUUGCAAUGUAUAUCCUUUAGUAUGUUUAGUUCAUGGAAAAUGUAGGUUUGUAUUGUUAGUUGAUUAAUUAAUCAGGGUUAAUUGUUCUGAGGGGAGGGGCUAGCCCUACAAAAGGAGCCUCUCUUUCAGUCAUGGAGGAGAAUUUUGGAUUGAGCUGUGGAUGGGGCAGCAUUGUUUUUAAGCUGUCCCAUAAGGUAGACGUUGAUGGCAGUACUGUUGUUUUUUGUUCCGGAAUCACUUGUAAAUAAACACCUUUGCACAGAAGAA